UGGGGCACAGAAAGUGCACUCGGCACCAUGUCAACUUUCACCUGUGCCUUAAGAGCUUGCAGAAAAGCGCCCACAUUGUCCUGGAGGGUUGGGAAAUUCUGGUAACAGGGCUGAGGAGGUGAGAGGAUCCGUGGUAAGACUCGGCGGCACCCUCGGGAUGGAGUGAAAAUCCUUUUAUCCCGGACGUCCUCUCCGUGGAAGUCGGGUUCGGCCUGGGCGGGAACCAGCACCGGGAGAGGCCGGAGAGGGCUGGAGUUGCGCGGCAGCUGGGCCCCGCCUCGGCUCGGCGCUUUCUGUCCACUCCGCUGGUCCCUCCUCGAGCUCAGGAAGCCGGAAGAUCGUAGGCCUGGAUUAAUGCCUCUUCUAUAUCAUGAAACUCCAGACAGUAUUGCUGCUGACCAAGAACUCAUUCGUUUGACAGUUGCCCUGGGUUCACGCUCACUCACCAGUUUUACCCUGAAGAAGCUAACCUGAUGGAACGUGUUUUUGAAAAUUCAGUUUCAGUGCCAGCUGGAUGACAAUGCCUUGAGGAGCCAGAUAUUUCACAGGAGGGUCUAUACCCUAAAUUAGCAACCAAUAUAAGGAGCUGUUCCUGGAAGGUGCAAAAAUGGCUGUAUUGAAGUGGACACUGAGCCUGCCCCCUGGCCAAUUGGAGGUCCUCAUGACAGGGUGUCAACAGGUAAAGAAGGUUACUUUACUAAGUGGGAUGACUGAUCCUGACCAGCUGGGUUGCUACUACACAAUGGAAGUAGGGAGGAGUAUUUGAGGAAUGCAGGAAAGCCCUUGGAGGACUCUUUGGAACUCAUUGCCCUCUGCUUAAAAGUCAAUGGAAAACUCCAACAAUCCAGUACAGGCAAGACAGAAAUGGUCUGGAGACUUUGGGAAUGAGGGCCUACAAAUCACUACCAGGCGAGAAACCUGUUAACAUUGAGGUAUGGUGCUUGCUGAGGGCAAAGGAAAUAUGGAAUGAAUAAUGAAUGAAGAAGACAGUAAUAAAUACCUGUGACAGUUGCAGAAGUGAGGACUGUAAUAGAUAUGACUAUUUCUUGCUUAUUUUGAUGUAAAUAUUUUUGUGUAUGUGUAUAUUACUCAAUAUUUUUCUUUCCUCUUCCAUCCCACUACCAGCUAACAUAAGAUGUAUUGAUAGUAGUAAACUUUUAAUCUAAGUAUUUAGAUGAGGAUAUCAAAGGGGGAAUGAAUGUGAUUCAACUGGAAAAGAUUUUAUUCUUUUGGAGAAAGUUUUGGCCUGUUUUCAUUGUUUGAAGAAAACACGAUUUUCCUAUUGUCUUUAUUUGAAAGUUAAGAAUGGUUUUAAAAGGAGCAAGAGGAAUACCACACAGACAACAAGUCCACAAGAGGUGAACAAUGGUGGAUUUGUGUCAGUUUUCAUUCCUAAACUGGAAGAACAUUUCCCAGAUUUCCCAUCCCUGCAAAGUUUUGCGCUAGCUGGACAUAUUGAUUUGGAAGGUGGAAAUAAACAGAAGUGGCUGCCAUAUUCUUCUAAAACUGAGCAGAGGUCACCAGCUCACACGUGCAACUUAUUGCUGGUUUAUCUUAUGGGCAUGUGGUGGCAGGAAGGCUUGCAGCAACUACAAUUCCCACCGCAUCUCUUUUAGGGCUUCCCUGCUCCCUGGGCCUGCUGGAUGUUUAACUCCUUGACAGUAAGUGCCAGCUGGACAUUCCUUUCUUUAAGGUUGAGAGUUCCGAGUGCUGAGAGACUGAGACAACUUCUACAACUAUCCUUUUUUUUUAUGGGGUUCACUGUUCCACUUUGUCCCCUGCAAAAGUUGGCCCAGGAUCCCAGAAAGCUUUGUUGAAUCCUAUCUUAUGCAAACUCCUAUUAUUAGUGAAGCCCUGGGAUGCUUUUGGGACACCCUUUUUAAGAAACCAAAUAUGGAAAGUUCUAAAGGAAUAUAGUUAUCAGCCGGUAAAACCAAAAUAAAAUGACAAGGCUUUUCCAAAAAGCACACUUUAUAUCGCAGUUCUAGAUUAAUGGAAGCAAGGUCUACAUAAGACUCCUGGUUUUUUGAGUUGUGUAAAAGCUGAUCUUCAUCAAUGUUUAGCAACCUAUAGUGAACAUCAAGUAAAAUUAAAGCUUGGGUGUAAGAUAUCAAACUGAAAACAGUGGCAAAAAUGUAUAAAUUCAAAAGCACAAUAUAGACACUGAAAAAAAUUUAAUUUAUAUAAAUCUGAGGCACCUGUGGCUCAGUGGUUGAGCCUCUGCCUUUGGCUCAGGUCGUGA